rnacentral:rRNA from 1 species
AUUGAACGCUGGCGGCAUGCUUUACACAUGCAAGUCGAACGGCAGCGCGGGCUUCGGCCUGGCGGCGAGUGGCGAACGGGUGAGUAAUGCAUCGGAACGUGCCCAGUAGUGGGGGAUAGCCCGGCGAAAGCCGGAUUAAUACCGCAUACGACCUGAGGGUGAAAGCGGGGGACCGAAAGGCCUCGCGCUAUUGGAGCGGCCGAUGUCGGAUUAGCUAGUUGGUGGGGGAAAGGCUUACCAAGGCGACGAUCCGUAGCUGGUCUGAGAGGACGACCAGCCAAACUGGGACUGAGACACGGCCCAGACUCCUACGGGAGGCAGCAGUGGGGAAUUUUGGACAAUGGGGGCAACCCUGAUCCAGCCAUGCCGCGUGCGGGAAGAAGGCCUUCGGGUUGUAAACCGCUUUUGUUCGGGAAGAAAUCCUCUGGGCUAAUACCCCGGGGGGAUGACGGUACCGGAAGAAUAAGCACCGGCUAACUACGUG